UGAUCCUUAGCCAGUAAUUAAGAUGUCACAGAUCUAUAUAAAGCAAUGUAAUGGAAGAGAAUGUUGUCUUUAAUCUAACAAAAUAGAUAUUAUUUUGCUUGACUAAGAUACUCUGAAUUGAAGGGGAAAAAACAAAGAUAAAUUCCCACUGUUUUACUUUCCUAUUGCUUCUGUAAAAAGUUACCUAAGUUUAAUGGCUUUAAACAGCAUCAAUUUAUUCUCCUACAGUCCUGGAGAUGAGUAGUUCAAAAUCAAGAUGUCGGCAGGGCUGCCUUCCUUGUGGAGGUUUCAGGGGAGAAUGCUUCCUUGCCUCUUUCAACUUCUAGAAGCCACCUGCAUUCCUUCCUUGGCUCACUCCAUGGCCCUUCCUUGUAUCACUCCAACCUCUUGCUUCCCUCAUCACAUCUCCUAUGAUUAACUCUCACCCUCCUGCUUCCUUCUUAUGAGGACCCUUGUGAUCACAUGAGGCCAACCCAGAUAAUCCAGGAUAAACUCCCCAUCUCAAAAUCCUUAACUUAAUCACAUCAGCAAAAUCCCUUUUUCCAUGUAAGAUAAUAGCUUCACAGGUUCUAGUGUUAGGACCUGGAUGUCUUUGGGAGGGCCAUUACUCAGCCUACCACCCACCUACGUUUAAAACAUGUUCUCAUCAAGUAGCUACCCAGAUAUUACCAAUAUGUCUACACAUUUUGAAAUGGAAAAUUCUAUAUUAAUUUUUUAUUUAUUUAUUUUUUUUAAAGAUUUUAUUUUUUCCUUUUUCUCCCCAAAGCCCCCCAGUACAUAGUUGUGUAUUCUUCGUUGUGGGUUCUUCUAGUUGUGGCAUGUGGGACGCUGCCUCAGCGUGGUCUGAUGAGCAGUGCCAUGUCCGCGCCCAGGAUUCGAACUGAUGAAACACUGGGCCGCCUGCAGCGGAGCGCGUGAACUUAACCACUCGGCCACGGGGCCAGCCCUUAAAAAAGGAAAGGAAAAAAAGAUAACUGCAGUUUGGAAGAGGUAAAACACCAAAAUCUAGGAGAGAGUGCUGAUUUUUUCACUUAGCCUCACGAAUUGAAGCAAGUCGCCUCCCCACAUCCUCCAAUCUAAGACUGGGAUUACUACUUCCUGCUCUCUACUCUACAGGCUGGGGCAAGAACAAUUAGAUAAUUGCACACAGGCUAUUAUUGACAUCCUGCAGGGUGAAGCGUUUAAACUGCUCCUUCUCCAUUUGUAAUUAGGAUCACAAGCAGAAACACCUCAGGUGGAGUUCAUCGAGCUGUUUCCGUGGAAUUCAGACCACGGUGCAUUGAAUCUGAAAUUUCUUCUGUCUUCACAUAAAACCUUGCAGAAAAAAGAAAACAAGGAUCACUUAAAAAGUAAAAAGUGUACCUCUAGUACCUACAGACAUGAUGAUUUAUUUUAUUUAGUGAGGAGAACUCAGUAAAUUUGUCAGCAAAGUUGGCUGAUGCUAGCUUCAUUUCUUCCACCUCCAAAAAUUUUUGUCAAGUUUCCGCAGAACAAUGCAAAGUCACCAAAAAAGAUUUUUAAAAAACCCCUCGUAUUCCAUGUCAGUACGGCCUAAAAGUAUAUUUUGAGCUUCCUCCUGUUCUCUGUAAUAAAAUUACCGCAUUGUAAAACAUGUUCAUUCAUAGAAUCAAUUGGCUUCAACAAUCUUAAGCGUCUCUCAGUUGCCUAAGUUUCCACAAAUUACAUUUUGCACGUAAAACUUCAAGAGCUUCUUUAAUGAACCACCAUCAUAAUUGGCAUUUUCUUUCCACAAAUAUUGUGUAUGGUCAUGCUCUAAAUUCCAUCCCGUUAAGAGCUGGAUGAUUCAGCAUUUCCAGAAGAGCUUCUGAGAGUGAGGCUGGCAGUCAAAUGUAGGAAUCAAAGACAGCGUGUGUACCUUAAAGAAAACCCACUUCAACUCCUAUUUAAUAUUACUGAGAGCCAUCACAUUUCUCUUUGACAAGAUUGUUUGCCUAAAGGUUUCUUGAGAGAGAAAGCCAUGGGAUUAAUUUACUUCUGCCAUCAUGAUUGACUGCACAGCAGCUGUCAGGCAACUGAAGUGUCUCCAAUCUCCAUCGCAAAUUACUCUAAGUGGUUUUUAAAAUAAACUUGCCAAGCCUGUUAAUGCCUAGCAGCUCCGACAGGGAAAUGCACAAUUGACUUAAAUCAAAAACAAGUGGAUCCGUUUGGGGUCUUCCUAAUGAAACUGCCUUGGUGCCUUUUUUUGUUGAUGCUCAAGAAACCACAGAUAAAUCACGUAAUCUUGAAAAUAAGGAAACUGUUAUAUGCACACUUCUAUGUAGUUCAUGAUUUAGCAGCAUAAAGCUGAACUUGUCUAAAGCAACAGACUGCAAAGGAAGGCUACCAUAGGUAAAUGUUAAUCAAAAAUUUAGUCCCGUAAUGUUGUAAAUUCGUUUCCUUCAAUUGUUCUUAAUGCAGAUAAAUCCCAAGGAAGAGUAAUGUCUUUCUCUGCUCCACUUUUUCAGAGACUCUCAGGAUCGAGAAUUCAGAAAGGCACAAAAAGGACAACUCUUCUCUGCUCCAUAUGUGGGACCUCAGCUGGAAUGACUCAACUAGCUGGGGGCGACUUGGAUGGCAGUGUUGGGACAGCUGGGACUGAGAGGAUGCCUCUCAAGACGGCUUCAUCACUCACACGUCUGAUGUCUGACCUGGGAUAGCUGAGAGUCAGGCUCAUCUGGGAUUGUCGACAACGGGGCCUCCACGUGGGCAGUAAUGGUUUAUCAGGCACCCAAACAAGGCGGUCUGCCCAGGGCCCGGCUCUUAGCCACUUUACUAUUGUGUGGAGAGGCUAUAAGCUAUCGUUUCACUGCAUAUGCUUUGAAACUUUAGGUUGUGAUGUUCUUAUAACUGAUGGACGCUACCUUCGUUGGCCUUCAUUUUGGAUUAGGAUGUAAAACC
rnacentral:lncRNA from 1 species